rnacentral:rRNA from 1 species
CCGUUCGAGGAGGCGAUUGCGGCCUAUCAGCUUGUUGGCGGGGUAAUGGCCCACCAAGGCGACGACGGGUAGCAGGCCUGAGAGGGUGGUCUGCCACACUGGGACUGAGAUACUGCCCAG